rnacentral:lncRNA from 1 species
CCCCCAAACAUAACUCAAAUGGAAACCAUGAAACGUGUCAAACACCUUCCAACCGACCAACACUUUGGAGUAAAAAUCAGGGGCAAGAAAUCAGUUUUGGCAUGUAGGAAGGAAGAGUCCUUCUCUUAGAAGACUCCUCCCCAUGGGCGCAGAUAUUAUGGGUGCUGGUUUUAUUUAGCAUGAACACCUUCAUGCAUGGGUCCAAAGUGGUAUGGAAGAGUCUUCUCAAGAGGGACUCUUCCCUAGGUGGCAUG